rnacentral:lncRNA from 1 species
CAAAGGUAGCUAUUUAUAGCCCCGUACAGAUAACUUCUUAACCGACUAGAACUCUAUCUCUAAUUCAAACAGAAAACAAAUAUCUACAAGCACAAUUCGUGCUAAACUAGUUACCCCACGCUUCGUGGGCUGACCUCCACCUUAUCCUUCCAUCUUUCCAAGCCCAUACAGGCCCAACUAGUCCAUCUUCCUGAUCGGCCGAUUUCUUAUCGGCAAAGGGUUGCCGAUUGGGAGUCU